GACGAACGCUGGCGGCGUGCUUAACACAUGCAAGUCGAACGGAAAGGCCCUGCGUUUGUGGGGUGCUCGAGUGGCGAACGGGUGAGUAACACGUGAGUAACCUGCCCUUGAAUUUGUGAUAACAUCAGGAAACUGGGGCUAAUACAGGAGAGGAGAUCCUGCUGCAUGUGGGUGGUUGGAAAGUUACGGCGGUGGGGGAUGGACUCGCGGCUUAUCAGCUUGUUGGUGGGGUAGUGGCUUACCAAGGCUUUGACGGGUAGCCGGCCUGAGAGGGUGACCGGCCACAUUGGGACUGAGAUACGGCCCAGACUCCUACGGGAGGCAGCAGUGGGGAAUAUUGCACAAUGGGCGGAAGCCUGAUGCAGCAACGCCGCGUGCGGGAUGACGGCCUUCGGGUUGUAAACCGCUUUCGCCUGUGACGAAGCGUGAGUGACGGUAAUGGGUAAAGAAGCACCGGCUAACUACGUG
rnacentral:rRNA from 1 species